UGGCGGACGGGUGAGUAACGCGUGAGAAUCUGCCCAUAGGACGGGGACAACAUUGGGAAACUGAUGCUAAUACCGGAUGAGCCGCGAGGUAAAACUUUUUAAGGCCUAUGGAGGAGCUCGCGACUGAUUAGCUAGUUGGUGGGGUAAGGGCCUACCAAGGCAAUGAUCAGUAGCUGGUCUGAGAGGAUGAUCAGCCACACUGGGACUGAGACACGGCCCAGACUCCUACGGGAGGCAGCAGUGGGGAAUUUUCCGCAAUGGGGGGAACCCUGACGGAGCAACGCCGCGUGAGGGAAGAAUGGUUGUGGCCAGUAAACCUCUUUUAAUAGGGAAGAAUAUUGACGGUACCUAUUGAAUAAGCAUCGGCUAACUCCGUGCCAGCAGCCGCGGUAAU
rnacentral:rRNA from 1 species